rnacentral:sRNA from 1 species
ACUAAUUAGAACGACAGGGGGCGGGGAUCUCCUGCCCUCUCGAUUGUCGGGAAGCAUGGACAGACUAUACGUUGAGUGGUCGUUCCCCCACUCAGCGCRAAAAAAUUGAGCUUCUCACCAAUCUUCGAGGGGUAGCGCUGCUACCCUUUUUUUUUUUCUGGA